rnacentral:lncRNA from 1 species
CAAGGCCAUGUUAAUACUUGAGUUAAUUUUUCAAAUUUAAUUACAAGUCAGAUAGUACAAGGGCCAUAGACACAACACGGGCCUAAACACGACCGUGUCCCCCUUUAAAACCCUAAUCCCCAUUUUAUUUUUAUUUUUUUCCUUAUCCCAAAGCCCCCACAUCGCCGCUCUGCCUCUACCUAUGUUAACCCCCAUUUCGACCACCGUCUUCUUCGCCCCCUUCUUCUCUCAUUUCCAUACACGUCAGCCACCGUCGCCGCCCCACCCACGAUUCCCUUCCUUCCCCUUUCCCCUUUCUUCCUCCCCUAAACUCUUCGCACCCCUACAUCCUACACCACCGCGCAUAGCCCACCUCGGCCCCCAUCCUCGAGACCCUACCUCCCUUCCUCCUUCGACAAAAUGCGUCCAAGCCAUUCGUGCACGAACAACUUUUCCCCUCUCCCCUCUCCCCGUGCCCUUUUCCCUUUCCCCUCAUUUUCUUCCUUCAUUAUCGACCCAACCACCCUCACCCUCACCCCGACCCUGAUUUCCCCCUUCCUUUUCAUCACACUGGUCGUUUGCCCCCUCUCCUACUCAUUUUCCC